CAACAAUGCAAAUGGGGAAAGCAAACUAAGGACCCAAGAAAGUUGCCAUGCACCGCCCCACAGUUCCCUGCAACAGACAGGAAGUUUCAUGCAGGAGGGAGCGAGACGGGGAAGUUCCUAAGCAUACCCAGUGAAAGCAAACAAACAAACAAAACCCCAUACGCCCCGUGGCUUCAGGUCUUUUGCAAGCCGGGGCGCCAAGCUGG